UACGAAGGGGGCUAGCGUUGUUCGGAAUUACUGGGCGUAAAGGGUUCGUAGGUGGCUCGCUAAGUCAGACGUGAAAUCCCUCAGCUUAACUGGGGAACUGCGUCUGAGACUGGCAAGCUUGAGCGCAGGAGAGGAACGCGGAAUUCCAGGUGUAGCGGUGAAAUGCGUAGAUAUCUGGAGGAACACCGGUGGCGAAGGCGGCGUUCUGGACUGCAACUGACACUGAGGAACGAAAGCCAGGGGAGCAAACGGG
rnacentral:rRNA from 1 species